rnacentral:lncRNA from 10 species
GUCCUAAACUCCUGACCUGGUGAUCCACCCACCUUGACCUCCCAAAGUGCUGGGAUUACAGGUGUGAGCCACCAUGCCCGGCCUACACCUGGUUAAUUUUUUUAAUUUUUUGUAGAGACAAGGUCUCACUAUGUUGUCCAAGCUAGUCUCAAACUGACUUCAAGAGAUAACCCCCUCCCCGACUCCAGCCUCCCAAAUGCUGGGAUUACAGGCAUGAGCCACUGCGCCCAGCCUUGAAGAAAGUUUUUAAAGACACUAUUUAGCAGUCUAGGAGAGUGUGUUAAAACUUGAUAUGAUAGGAGAAAAGUGAAUUGUCACAUCUGCUCCAGUAAGCAGUGUGGUCUAGGUAUCAAAAGCCUGACUGUUCUGAGCCCCUAUUCCCUUCCCUUAUUAUAUUUUAGGGGCUCUAUUCUAAGGAAAUGGUCUAAAUUUAAAAGGAUCAAUUUGAAAAUAUUUAGCGUAAUUUAAAGUGUCAAGCUUGAAAACAAUCUAAAUACCCACGAUGAAAUAAAGUCAACUAUAAUAGAACCCUUCAUCGACUGGCCAUUGAAACCACUACAGAGAAGAGAUAAUGACAUG